GAACGAACGCUGGCGGCGUGCCUAACACAUGCAAGUCGAACGGGAUUAGGGGCUUGCUCCUAAUCUAGUGGCGCACGGGUGAGUAACGCGUAGAUAAUCUGCCUGAUGAUCUGGGAUAACACUUCGAAAGGGGUGCUAAUACCGGAUAAGCCCACGGGGUCUUUGGACUCUGCGGGAAAAGGGGGGGACCUUCGGGCCUUCUGUCAUCAGAUGAGUCUGCGUACCAUUAGCUAGUUGGUAGGGUAAUGGCCUACCAAGGCUACGAUGGUUAGCUGGUUUGAGAGAAUGAUCAGCCACACUGGAACUGAGACACGGUCCAGACUCCUACGGGAGGCAGCAGUGGGGAAUUUUGCGCAAUGGGCGAAAGCCUGACGCAGCAACGCCGCGUGAGUGAUGAAGGCUUUCGGGUCGUAAAGCUCUGUCGAGGGGAAAGAAGUGUAUUGUGGCUAAUAUCCACGAUACUUGGCGGUACCCCUAAAGGAAGCACCGGCUAACUCCG
rnacentral:rRNA from 1 species